rnacentral:rRNA from 1 species
GACGAACGCUGGCGGCGUGCCUAAUACAUGCAAGUCGACCUUAGUGGCGAACGGGUGAUUAACACGUGGGUAACCUGCCCAUCAGAAGGGGCUAACAAUUGGAAACAGGUGCUAAUACCGUAUACUGAUGGAUGGACCCGCGGUGCAUUAGCUAGUUGUGGAGGUAACGUCUCACCAAGGCCACGAUGCAUAGGCGACCUGAGAGGUGGAUCGCCCACAUGGGGACUGAGACACGGCCAAAACUCCUACGGGAGGCAGCAGGGGGGAAUCUUCGGCAAUGGACGAAAGUCUGACCGGGCAACGCCGCGUGAGUGAAGAAGGUUUGCGGAUCGUAAAACUCUGUUGUUAGAGAAGCGGUAUCUAACCAGAAAGCCACGGCUAACUACGUGCCAGCAGCCGCGGUAAUUC